UGGGUAAAGUUAUCGAAAGGUAGCGGCACAAAGCUAUGGGGCUAAAACAUUUUUGUCAUGCUUGCCAGGUUGCA
rnacentral:ncRNA from 1 species